GCAGGGCGCCAGCUUGUCAAAGUACUCGGGGGCGAUGAGGCUUAGCAGCGCUUGGAACAGCCGGACAAAGGGCAAGCGGGACACCAGCACCAAAGACUGCAGGGCCACGGGGCCAGUUAGAGGCCCAGUGCCAGGCCUCACCCUCGCCACUCAGGAGCCCACGGAGACCCCCGAAGCCACGCUCACCUGGAGCUGGCCCAGGGUAGCACGUCCCACCAACUUCACAGGACAGCUGCCCCGGGAACGGCCUGACUCGGACCCCAGAAUUAUUAGACAGGAGAAAACCCAACACCGAACUCCCUGGGUGGCAGCCGGUGGGCUGGACCCUAGGGCCUUCGGAGGGAAAUGCAUGGUGGCCAGAAUUUCUGGAAUGAUCUCCCCAGGGGCUGAGCAGCUUUUACUCUCGGCCUAUGGCUUCCAGGCUGGGUUGUCCUGACCCUGACAGUGUCAUAACCCUCCAGCCAUCAGUGAGGGGCAGCAAUAUCCUGGACCAGGACAGAAGGGCCUUGGGUGCCAUGACAGGCAAGGACAGGGCGGGGGGGCCACAAGGAGAGCUGGACACAGCCCAGGUGGGGCUACAGGAGGGGUGGGCACUGCUGGAGACUCAGGGCCCCUUGCCCGACCCACAGUCCCUCCUGCUGCCUGCCAGCUCCUGCCUCUCUUGAGGCGCCAGCCCAGAGUGGCCAAGCAGCGCACCUUCUGGAAGUAGCCCCUCUUCACAGAGCUGUCCUUCACCUGCCUGAAGUACACGUAGCCGAAGUAGUGUGCCGGCUCCCUCUGGAAGGAGCACAGUGUUAGCCAGGCAUGCCCCACCCAGACUACUUGGCUGAGAAGGAGCACAGUGUUAGCCAGGCCAUGUCCCACCCAGACCACCUGGCUGGAAGGAGCACGGUGUUAGCCAGCCAUGCCCCACCCAGACCACCUGGCUGGAAGGAGCACAGUGUUAGCCAGCCAUGCCCCACCCAGACUACUUGGCUGAGAAGGAGCACGGUGUUAGCCAGCCAUGCCCCACCCAGACCACCUGGCUGAGAAGGAGCACAGUGUUAGCCAGGCCAUGCCCCACCCAGACUACCUGGCUGGAAGGAGCACGGUGUUAGCAGGCCAUGCCCCACCCAGACCACCUGGCCAGCCCCAGGGCUGGGAGUGGCAAGGAGCAUGCAGGGACUGCGGCAGAUGGAAGCCUGGAGAACCAGGAGACUCCUGGAGCUGCUGUCCCUGCACUCUGGCCACCAAGGUGGGGGCCAGGAGGUCCUCGGCUCAGAAGGACCCGUGGGAAGCAGGGGGAAGCCAGCCAGAGACGCAGCCCAGUGCUCACCUGCAGUGCCACAGGGGCCCUGCUGUUGUAGUGCCUGUCGUCGGCAUGCCAGGGGCUCCUCUGCCCUCCACACUGGCGCAUGCGGAAGCUGAACUGAGUGUCUCCAAGGCAGCCUGAGAAGGGACAGCCCCACCACACGUGUCAGGGCCGGGAGCCUCUUCUGCAGGUCCUGGAGCUGGUGACCGGGGAGCAAGGGCCCUGCGAGCCUGGCCUCUGCUGGUCUUAGAAUAUAUUCGCACAGAAAAGCACCUUCAACUUCUCUGGGAGAUUGGCUUGACCUGCUUGAGACAGAAAAUCAGGCACUAGAAAAUGGCCACCCAGAUGUCUAUGCCCUGGGGCAAGAGCGGGAGAGAGGCCCAGCCCCUGGCGGCCACUGUGUGGGGUGUAGGAGACUGACUGUUGGUCCCUCUGCAAAGAGAUACCCUUUCCACGUGAAUCUGGGGACCGGCCUGACCUGCUGCAACGCGGGGCUCUGGGUCCCUCCACGGAGUGGGCAUGGGGCUGGUGCUGCUCACCCCUGUGGCACUCUGUGCACCGUGGGCAGCCGAGGCAGCCGUGAUACCCCUGGCCUGGGCUACAGGGACGCCAGGCUGGCUUCAUGUCCAGCCCCAGGAAAGGUGGGGUUGCCUACCUGAGUGCGAGUCGGGAAAGGACAGGUAGCAGAUGCUGCUUUUCUGAAACAUAUAAAACCCAGUGAGGGCCGACCCACUCCUGGGUCCCGUCCAUUCCCAAGAGGGCCGGGACUCACCUCCUUGUCUGUGAGCCGGAAGUCGUUCGGAUAUACCAGCUGCAGAGGAAGACAGAGUACUUGGUGACACCAUCUGCCCGAGGAGGCGACACCCCCCAACAGCAUCUGCUGGACUGUGACCGUCCCAGCAGCUGCAGCAACUGUCUGUGGGGCGCAGGUCAGUGCCCACGGUGCUGGCUCGCCCCCCGCUCCCUGUUCCAACAGCAUGCUGCAUCCUCUACACACCAUCUUCUCUGGCUACGAUGUCUGGCUCCUUGCUGACCCGCUCCUAUCUCUGACCUCCAGGCACCAGGCCCCGGGCAACUCCCCUGCCAGCCAGAGGCUUCUCUACUCCCACCUCCCCAGGCCCCUCUCAGUAAGAGGCCAGCACAAUUGGGUGGGCUUCCUGACCCCUUUCUCACACUGCUGGUCCUCAUAGCCACCCAACCACCUCUUGCCCAGACUGCAGUUGGGCCCCCCUGCCCCCACCCACAGAUGCUGUGACAUCUGUUCACAGCAUCAGAAGGGUAGUGCUUCAGGGACCCAGAGGCCCCCUCACCCAGGACGGUCACAGGACUCCACCUGGCUGGUCCUCCAGCUCACUCACCACCCACCAAGCCAGAGGGCCCUGGCCAUGCUGCUCCCCCAGGCUUUGCUCAGAUGCAGGGCCAGAAGCACCCCUGCCCCACGAUGGCAGCUUGCUGUCAGGCCCUCUCCCCGUCCUGCUCAGCAGUCUUCACGCACCCUCCCCCUGCCAGGGCCUGUGCCCCACCUGUAGUGCCCAGUGAGUGCCCAGCCGGACAAGCCCUGCACCCCCAGGAGUGGACAGCAGGGGAGAGCAUGAUGCUAAGCAGGCGCUGAAUGACUUGGAAGACAGGUGUGCGCUGACAGAGGCGGCAGGUGGGGCAGGUGAGCCUGGGAGCCAAGCCCAGUAGGUCUACACACACGUGGGCCACUUUCCCUCUAGGGAGUUCCCAGAGCCCCUGUUCCCAGUGGGCCCUGCAGUGCCUCUUGGGCUGCUGAAGCCUGCCAGGAGGGCCUCUGCACACUGUCCCCUCCUCAUCCCAUCUGCCCAGCUUCUCCACUGAGUUGGGUUUAGGCUAUAACAAGGCUUCUUCCAAGGUGCACCCUGAGCCCCAGAGAGUGAGGAGCCGGGCCCUGGAUGAAAGCAUCUGCCAUUUUGUUUUUGAGAGACAGGGUCUCGCUCCCUCACCCAGGCUGGAGCGCAGUGGCACAAUCACAGCUCACUGCAGCCUCAAACUUCUAGGCUCAAGCGAUCCUCCCACCUGAGCCUCCUGAAGUGCUGGGAGUGCAGGUGUGAGCCACCGCGCCCGGCCCUUCUAACUCUCAAAAAUGUUUUUUAAGACAAGGUCUCACUGUCACCCAGGCUGGAGUGCAGUGGUGCAAACACAGCUCAUUGCAGCCUCGACCUCUAUUCACUCCAGAGACCUCUGAGGGAGCUGGGAUGUUGAGAGGUAAAUUUUCCUUUAG